UAUGACGUGAACAUGAUACGAGAUGUUGAGUUUCCUUCUCUUAGUGGCAGGGGGUUGAAGGACACAUGAACUUUUAGAAGCUUGUAUUAAUUAACUUUAAUGGAGUUGAUUGGUCUGAGUGUAGAUCAGGAAAUGCUCAAGCUGCAAAAAUACAUUUUUAUUCAACGUUUGUUUAUGGCUAUGCAGGUUUAUUGGUGGAUUUACAAAUGACAUAAACCAAUAUUACAUGAAAGGAACUUUAUUAUUGUACUUGUAAGUACAGAAAGAUCAUUUCACUGUGUUCUGCUGUAAACUGAGCGCAGGACGAGAAGGAAAUAGACCAGACCUUGAACAUCUAGAAGAGCAGCGUGGCCUGAACCACAACUGAGCCGCAGCCGGCCCGGUGUAACAUGGGCGCGGACAAUUCAAAGCAAGUUGGACCCUCACACACAAAAGGUCAGGACCACAGACUGAGAGCAGAGUCUCCAGGGUCCAGCUGUGUGUCUCUGAAGAGUGACUGGUCCAUGGGACAUCCUCCACUCUUCAGUAAUGAACCUGGACCCUCACACACAGAAGAGAGGAAGAGGAGUCAUGUUUCUGAGGAGGAGCAGUCGUCCUGCUGUGCUUCGUGUCAG